rnacentral:rRNA from 1 species
UACGAAGGGGGCUAGCGUUGCUCGGAAUCACUGGGCGUAAAGCGCACGUAGGCGGAUUGUUAAGUCAGGGGUGAAAUCCUGGAGCUCAACUCCAGAACUGCCUUUGAUACUGGCGAUCUUGAGUCCGGGAGAGGUGAGUGGAACUCCGAGUGUAGAGGUGAAAUUCGUAGAUAUUCGCAAGAACACCAGUGGCGAAGGCGGCUCACUGGCCCGGGACUGACGCUGAGGUGCGAAAGCGUGGGGAGCAAACAGG